rnacentral:misc_RNA from 1 species
UCCGGCUUAUCACCGGCAGUCCCUCUAGAGUGCCCAACUUAAUGCUGGCAACUAAAGACGAGGGUUGCGCUCGUUGCGGGACUUAACCCAACAUCUCACGACACGAGCUGACGACAGCCAUGCAGCACCUGUCUCCGGUCCAGCCGGACUGAAGAACUCCGUCUCUGGAGUCCGCGACCGGGAUGUCAAGGGCUGGUAAGGUUCUGCGCGUUGCGUCGAAUUAAACCACAUGCUCCACCGCUUGUGCGGGCCCCCGUCAAUUCCUUUGAGUUUCACCCUUGAGAGCGUACUCCCCAGGUGGAAUACUUAUCAGGUUUCCUUCGGCACUGACUAAAAAAAGCCAACACCAAGUAUUCAUCGUUUAGGGCGUGGACUAC